UGGCUACUUAUUGGGAAUAACACAGCUGAAAGAGGAAGAGAAGAGGGUGAAAGACAGGUCAUUUCUUGAAAAAUGGUACAGGAAAUGUUUGGUCUCAGCAGAUAAUUUAAUUGCAUGGUCCAGUCUGUAUCGUUGUUUCAGGCCAAAUGGAAAAUAAGAUCCGUAGGGCUGCAGAGCCAGAAAGGAGAAGGAUCAUCACCAUGACUUACAGUGGACUUCAAUCGAACUAAAUGUGGCUGAAAUGCAAUGGAGGAGUACGGCAAAACAAAAGGGAGAGAAAACGACUGGAGAAACAAUGGAAGAGCUGUGUUUACAGAGUAGUACAAAGCUGAAAAAUUUCCAUACUAUGUUUACCACCAGCCACAAUGUGUGGCAGCAGAAAUGCCCGUUUUGCAGACGUGUCCGUCAGGUGGAAGGUGCCUGGCCAAGAAUAAGAGAGUUGUGAAGAGAUUUGGGACUGUGUAAAUAAACUCUGAGCAGAGAUCACACGUGAGGGAGACUUGAGAUAUUUUUGAUACAUCAACCACUCAAGAGCAUGGAUUUGUUUCUGCUUCUAGGGAUUUCUGUGAAGUCACCUGGGCUGAAAUACUCCUUUCAGUCUGUCUUUGAGCUGUCUGCUUUCAAACUACCUGAGACAACAGAGGUAAAAAUUUAGAUAAACAUAGAACUGUUGGAUUUUCUCUCCUGGCAAAGCACUGUGGAACAGGUACUCCUUUUAUUUCCAUGUAUUUACAAUUAUUUUUCCACAGAAGCAAACUUCUCUGAGCUACUUGAAUGUCUUGGAACAUAGCCUUGCAAUCUUAACCUGCUUUGGCUGCAGUACAGCUUUAGUUUCUCUGGCACCCAUUUCUGGCUUUUCCUGGUAGAAUGAACACCUGUAACAAUGAAACAGACAAAUAAAUAACGUAGUUUGGUAAUUGGCCAAACAUAAAUUAGGCAUUUCAGAAGAGAUUAGGAAAGAUAGCAAAUCCAUGAGGCUACUGCUUAUUUAGUCAAACACAGGUAGAAAUUAAAAGGAAAGAUUUUUUUUUCAUGUGUUCACUAGGUUUCUCAAGGAUGAUUAUGGAGCCUUAAAAUGUGCAGCCAUAAACAGCAGAAUAUCACAGAGAUGCCCCCACCACUGCCAUCUUGGGUUAAUUCUCCAGAUUUCCCAGUCUGGCUAAUUCAGCUAGCAGGAAAAAAUACUGUGGGAUUUCCCCUUUGUGACCUAUAACUGUGAAUCAGACCCCAGACCUCAGGCACCAGACUCCCCUCACUCCAGAAUAUUUGUAAUGAGAAAAAAAAAAAAGUUAAAAAAAGAAGUGCUGUGUUUACUGAUCACAGUGCCAGGUACAAUUGUUUAUAUAUUUUUGAGGUUUUAAUCAAUUAGUCUAUAAAACUCAAUGGGAAACACUGUAUGCUUUGUCAUGAUUAAAAUUCUUGAGACAGUAGCAUUAAGUGUAAAUGACACUAUGUAACAGUAAUUACAUAUUAUUGCUUAGAUCUUCUGCUAAUGUAAAUUCAAAUAACUGUGUUUGAGGCCAUGUUUCUCUAAGUCACUCUGUAAAGAUUUCAAGUAAGAGAGAUCAAUUUUAAUUAAGCACAUGUUUUAGAGAUCAUGUGAAAGUGGAGACAAAAAAAUAUAUUUUUUUUACUAACAAUUUAUUGAAUAUAUUGUAGAAGAUUAAGAUUCUGUGUUUGUUGAUUAGGCUUUUUAUGAUGUUACAGAAUUUGGAAUUAACAAAGAUCAAGAAAAAGCUAAUUUUUAUCUGUGAAAAAAUGCAAGAAUAAAGAAUUCAAAGGUCCUUUGAGGAAUGGUCAUCCUGAACAGAAGGAUGUUUCCAAAGUUGAUGAGCUCCUCAAAAUGGCCACAGAUACACUCUUCUGUCUCCAAGCCUAAAGUGACCACAGGUAAAAUCAUUUUCUCUCUAAAAAGCUGGUCAGUACAGGAGUUGAAAAAUGUAAAAAUGGUUUCUAUAGCAUAAAAGCUGAGUGCAAAUCUACAAAUGGGAUCAAUCUGCCUCACUCCUGCUACCUUAAUCCAGCACCUCAAGAAUCAAUGUUUCAAGUCAAUCCUUCCAGAUGAGGUGCUGAUUGACUUCCAGGCACUUCCAGAGGUAGGAGUAAGGUUGCUUUUGAAAAUGAAAGGACAGUCUCCACAAAGGAGUAACUUUAUCUCAUGUAAAAUACUAAAAAAGCACUUUUCUGUCAUGGCAGAAUGUAGAGGACUGUGUGUCUGUGGUUCAGGCAGAAGCUCAGCAUCAUCACCUCCUCUGCCAAAUCUUCCUGCCUUUUGUCAUGCCAAAUGGAUGAUGACUCUAUAAGAGAAUUGUUGCAUGGGAUAUGUUGUGCUCUGGAACACAGAAAAAAUGUAUCAUGGAGGAUCUUGGCCAGAGGCCCCUCAGUUCACUUCAGGCAAAAGUUGUCCCAGGAUUUGAAGUCAUCCAUCUGAUGUUACAAUACUCACUCCAGAAAAGCCAAGGAGAAAAUGUUCCAGCCAAAGCUCCCAAGAUUCACAGUGCUUGCGCUAAAAACUUACAAAUGCACAUAUUUGGACCAGGAAAAGAUUUCUCUCUGUGAUUCUGUGAUUGCAAAAGAGGAAUGGUUUUCUACAGAGAUCUGAACUAUCGCCAAGCAUGCAUAAAACUCAACGGAAGAACAACCUCCAGAGCUCCAAAAUUCACACUUUCAGAAUGGAAUACAAGUUCCACAGGACUUAAAGAGAUAUUAAGAGAAAUCUCUUAACAUCUGCUCCAAGAGGCAGGUACAAGAGACCUGGCAAACUCCAAGGAAUAUGAGAGAGACUGGAUCUGACAGCAGACUAAAGACACAAGGUAGAAAUCAAUCAUUUGAUAAUGAAUGGUAAUGGAUCAUGGUGAAGAGAUCUAAAAGCAAAGACAAACAGCUUGUGUCUGGCAUUACAGAGAAGGGGAGUGCACAGAGAAAACAGCCAUUGGUGGAGCAAAGAACUAGGAAGAUGGUCUUAGCAGCACCAGCAACAAAUAUCUGGAUUCUCAGGCUAAAAUGGAUAUAAUGUCUUUGAGCCUCAGCGUGGAAUGCAGAUUCAGCAACACUGAAGCUGGAAGAGGAACAAAUGGUAUUUAAUGUAGAUACUGGAAAAUGGCUAAUGUGGAACCAGCGUGGUGGAAGUGAGAACAUAUAGGGCUGGGCUCAGCUUACUGAGCUGAGUCUUUCACUGGUGCAAACCCUGCUUCUUGACUCUUAGUGAGUUAAUUACAUAAGGUCAUUCUCUUUUAAUUUCUGACCUAAGAUGAGGAUCAGUUGUACUCCACCAGGAAAAAAAUCCUUAACUUUUUAGAAAACAAAAGUGUGAAGCCAGUAUAUCAAAAGCAGAGCUUAAUUUUCACAGGUAGAAGAGAGUUGUAGUACUUGCUGAACUUGCUACUUCCCUGUACACUUCUGUUCCUCUUUAUAUCAAGAGUUGUUCUGUUCCUCUUUACAUUUGUCUCUCCUGAAUUUAAAUGUUAAAAUGUAAUCUUCAGCUGACUAGGAAGGGUGAGGGUUUUCUCUAGAAUCUCCCUCGCUGUACUGGUAGGGGUAGUUUUAGUAGUUCAAAUCCAUGGAAUUGUCUGCCUUUCUGCCAGCUUUUGUAACCUGUACUCAGGUUAAUUUUAUAAAGACGAAAACCCUGCUUGCUGAAUGGGUCAUCCAGGAAUCCAGCACAGAAACAGUCAAAACCUCCCUCCACCAAACUUUUAUAGGAUAUAAAGUGGGGUUAACUGUUCUUCCAACAUACUUCUAAGUCUGACACUACAGACUUAUUUGGUCCUUUGCUGUGAGGUACAGUUUGCUGCUUCCAGCAUGAGGCAGAGCUUCCAGUUCAGCUGUUCUGCCUUCCCCACUGCCGCCCGAUCCCUUGCAAGAAAGUGCCUUUGCUGUCCUGCUUCGUAUGAGUCAUUCUGAUGGCAUAGGUCUCUCUUCUCCUGCUUUACAUGCUAGUGUGGUUUUUACUAGCUUGUUUAUACGACAGCUUAUGCGUUGGUUUGAUAUUUUGCUGUAUGCUUUAUUUAUGCAGUUGCCUGUUGGGGUCUGGAAAGGAUUUCCCAUAAUGGUAGAUUGGCUGGUCAGACUAGAUUUUUCAGAUUCCUUCUAGCAGUGGUACUAAAUGUUAGUGAUUAAGUAUAACCUUAUGUCAGAUAUCAAUAACAGUAACCAAGGCUGGUUCAAUAAUAUGUCUGGGGGACCCUUCCUAAAAUAAAUAAAACAUAUGGCUCAAGCCCAUACCUAAAGCUCCCAGGCUUUAGGGACUUAAAAUUUAAGCCCUGUAGUCACCUUUACAGGUAUUUUUUCCCCACUCUCACUCUUGGGAAUAUGAAACCACAGGCACACAGCGUAACACAGAUAUUUAUAUUAAAAAUGAAAUGAAGCAUACCUUGAAUAGUACAGUAGAGGCAAUACCAGCCUUUGAUUCACAAUUAUUAUUUGCCCCACUGACUGAGACCUAGUCAGUAUUUAUUUUGUACCCACAGGACAUUUGUGCUUUUCUAGUUCACCCACCCCUCCCCUCAUGGUGUACUUAAAUAAGUUUUGGGAUGCCUAACCAGGCUUUAUGGGCUGUCCUGCAGCCCAUGGGGAGAUGCUGGGGAUGCUGACUGGCAGCAGGGGGUCAGCACUAGUCCCAUCAGAAACAGCUCUCUCUUGUCCACAUCAGCUCUGCUCAGGGCAUUGGCCUGAUUCAGAGAGAAGGAGAUCAGUUGCCUGAAGCCAUUUCUUGCCAUGCCAGGGUGAGCAGCUUUCUACAGGGUAUCUCUCUUCUAAAAAUCACAUUCUCUUUACUGACUGCAGAUAUCAUACCAUACUGUGCUUCCUCAGUGGUUAUCAAACACAGAAAGCAGACAAAUAUAUGUAUGCUCUGUUUAGCUUAAAAAGACGAGUCCUUCAAAUGUAACAAAUGCCAGAAUUAGGGUUCUCUUGUGUGUCUUUAGAAAAAUAGUAUCUUUAAAUAUAUAACCAUGCACUGUUGUUUUCUUCUCAAUUAAUAUGUAGGUUUGAAUAUGGCAGUGCUGAGUUGCCUAUAAAAUAUUUACAGUGAAUCAUCUUUCUUUUAAUGUAUCUGGAGAACCUGAAAGCAUUUGGUGUUUCUGUUGUUCAGAAAUAUAGCAUAAUAGUCAAUUCAGGUAAUUAAAAGGAGGUAGUAUUUUUUUCAGUGCUGAUUGGGCUGUUUGAUUUCUGUUGUGGCGAAUUGUACAAGGAAAGACAACUAAUAUAACAUCCAUUUAAAACAUGCUCUGAUUAAUUAAUAGCAUAAUAAUAAGCAGGAUGACUGUAAAGGAAUAAUUAGAAUAAUAAAAUUGGCAUUUAUUUAUCACUGAAGUACCUUAUUCCUUCCUUUCAGCCUCACAGACGCAUUGGCUGUGUGUAGUCAGACUGUAAAGCAUUGCCUGUACCAGACUUUUACCCCUAAAAUGACGACAUUGUAUGUGUUAUUUAUGACAGUAAACCAUAUGACCAAUGCACUGUUAAUUGUCAUUAAUAUCCUAUUUGAAAAAUUUCCUAAUCCUGUUUAUUACUUUGCUAAUAAGUAAAUCUGUAGACAGAGGGUAUUUCGUGUUAUAUCUACUUCUUUUAAAAUGAACUUUAUGGCUUGUGUAAUGCCUAAAUAUACAUAUUUGUAUACAUACAAAUAUCGUUCUUGAAAGCUGAUCAACUGCAUUGGGUAUCUAAACAGGUAUUUUCAGUGAGACUAUUUCCCUGUUUUAAUUAUUUAGGGUACAACUUAUAGUGAGUAAAAGAAAAAGAAGGAAAUCCUAUUGCCAAGUAUCUAAAAAUCAGCUUGUUCACUUCUCUAAUACAAACCUUACUAGUACUGAAAAAUCAACAUUUUCACAAAACAGAGCUGUGAUUUCCAGAUUUUUCAGAAAGAACUAAAACAGGGUGCUGAAGCAAAGUUCGAUGCAGAUGAAUUAUAAUUAUUUUUUAUUAAAAAUACAAACAUACAAAUCAUUCUUAGAUGGACCAUUGCAGUAAGUUAGCCAAAAACACUUGAAGCCGGUAAAGAACAGAUUAUGUUGUUGUUGUUGUUGUUUUAUAGCAAAAUAUCAUGAUUUUUAAAUUCUUCUGCCUUUUUAUUGUUUUAAUUCUCUGAGUUAACUUGCAGUGAGCCUCCAGACCUUUGCUGAAGAGCAGAUGUACAAACUUAUUUAUAUGUGUUGGCAGCAUCACCAUCAUAAAUUGCUGGAGCCAUUGAAAAACAAUAAACUGAACUUGCUUCAAGAGGAACUAGUGCCUCUCAUCGGUAUUGCCUCUUUCGAGAUGACAGGAGACCUCAAGAGGCCUGAGAGUUCUUAGUUGUAUGAGUUUGUGACUAAUAGGUGGUUUGAUGGGACGAGUGCUCACCACCUAGGGAAAUUGAAGCAUCUUUGAGCUCAAUACCCUUUGUGUCUCAUUCUUCUGUAGGUUAUUGUUGUGCGGCCUGCGGGGACCUCUUUUACAGUUUGCAUCCACAGACAAUAUGCGAUCAGCAAAAUCCUUCUAGUUUUACUGUUGUUAUUGAUCUUCUGCCAUUCUGCGCUGUGGCUAAUUUGCUUGUUAGCAGUAAUUUUAAAAGAUUUUGGGUUGCAAGAAGUAUGUGCAAUACUCAAAGAGUUUUCAAAACAGGAAUUUACAAAUGAACUCUGAAUGGCUCCUAAACACCAUGGACCUCUCACUGUGCUUCUUCUGGUGAGGUAAAUAACAGGGAGGCCUAUGAUAAAUUUCACACAUCUCCACUGUGAUUGCUGAGGCCUAUGGUCAAUUCUCCAUCUUAAGGGAGAUUAGUAGGAGAAUGAUGGGAUGAGUUUGUCAUCCCUAUUAUAUAAAAUUGGAACUUCAACAUAUUACUAUCUUAUAUAAAUGGAUUGCAGAGAACAGCUGAAAUGUUAUGCGGAGCAUUUGAUUUCCAAGUUUGACACACGCUACCUGAAAUUCCCAAUGUUACAUGAACAUCAUCUUUAACUCUCUGGCUGUACCCUGGGACCUCCAAGGGCCACCCUGUUCCAGAUGUGCCCCUUGACCAGCCUCCAGCUCCCUGUUUGGACAAGGCUCUGAUGGAAAGUGUGGCUUUUCCCUCCCCCCUUUCCAUGGGAAGAAAACCAGGCGAAUAGGCUGGAAGAAAGAGAGCCACGUCAUGCUCCAGCUGAGCCCUCAGACCAGGCACAAGUAAGAAGUGAAAUCAGGUGCAGGAAAUCUGCAAUGAAGGUCUACAGCUUCAAAAAGCAAAUACUUGCCAAUGAAGGAAGAAAGCUGUUGGAAAGUAAAACAGAACACGUCCUGUAGAGCCAGUGGUACUCACUUAGACUCUUGUCCUCCCCUCCCUCCCAAGAUUCCUGAGCACAAGAACAAAUCAAAAUUGAUAGCAGGCGUAGUGAAGAAUAGUGUGUCUUCUCCAGUGCUGACCACUCUGAUAACACCUGUCAGGAUGAAAAACCUGAGGGAUUUGACUGAAGGGGACAGGCUGGAAAUGUCUCAUGUGGAAGACCAAGAGCCAUGGCAGAGCCUCUCUCCCGAGAGCUCUUACCAUCUACACCGUUCUCAUGAUGAGAAAGUCCUCCAGCCAUCUGCAGAGAAAAGAGCAAGCCGACACGUGUGGAGGAGACUGCCACUCUGAGCACUAUGCAAAGACUGUGCUCUCAAAGCUGGCCUUGCAGACAUGCUUGUGAGAGGAGAGGCAUUUCCGAACUUGCAGUGAGUGCAUUUUGGAUGGUGGAAGCUUUCCCCACUGCUAUGGCUUUUGCCAAGCAGCUCAGAAUUGCUCAAAGAGCAGUCAGUGUUGCAGACAGAAGAGAACUGUAGGCAUGUUUCUGAAGGACUUUCUGAAGGUGUCCGGUACAGAUAAAGCAACUUCUGCUCAGGCAUAAUUCAUAUAGAGGCAUGCUGGAAGGGUACAUAUGAUUCAGGUGAUGCAAAGCUGCACUAUUGCCACCAGAAAGCUAAUCUAGGUGUGGGUUUAGUGUAAUAUGAGCCAGCAAAAGACAAUUUCCCUAAUGAAAUCCUCUGGAAGGGAGAGCUCACUCAACACAAAACAGUGUUUAUAUUCUGCUGUUCUAGUCUAGUCUGGAGGGUAAUUACAUUUUAUGGGGUUAACAUGUAUCAAGGAUCUCAUUGAAGGUCCAAUAACAGUGUUUACAGCUGUCAACUGUAUUGACUGAAAGCACUGAUUGCCAUCUCCAGCACUACCAAGCCACUCAGGGUCUCCACUCAAAUCAUUAUGGACAAUGAACAUAAUAGUCACGAGCUCUUGGGGGCUUCCUGUUGGAGAAGGGGCAUUUUUAGCUUCUUUUCAAACUAAUUAGCCUUAGACCUGUGGCUUGGGUAUGGGCCUCAGGAACUCUUUUGGUUAACAUUUUCUGUCUUGUCCACAACAGAGUUAAGUGCUAUGAACAUCCUUUCAGAGAAAUAAUAUUUUGAAACCACAUGAAUGUUUACCCAGAGCAAGAGGAAGGGGUGCAAACAUUGUAAAGGGAGUUUGUGAUUCCUGUGCUGUUGCUUUCUGAAAGGCUGUUCUUGGAUUUUGCUGUAUUUGCCCAGCUCCGAUUAUGCUUUAAUAUUUCAGUGUGGAGAAAAUAAGUCUCUAAUGUAAGAAUGCAGCACUCAAGUGCUCUUUUCUCAACAUUUAUAUAUAUAUAUGUGUGUGUGUAAAAUAAAUGAAACCCUAGUUUAUAUUAAGGGAAAAGAUAUUCUUGGCAACGUAAAUUGGGAAGUAACUGGGGGAAAAUGGCUCUCUUUAAGAAAAGUAAGCAAAGUAGGUGCAAGCAGUGACUUUAAAUUGGACAUUAAACUAAUCCAGGGCUAUACUUUAAUAAAGGCUAGUGCUGGGAAUUCUUAUGGAUUUUCUAGCUCAUUGCUGGGAUGACAGAGAAAUACAAUAAAUGUUCUAUUACUUACACAAGCUGCUGGUUUUCAGAAAAUUAGUCACCAGUGACCUUUUACCCUUUGUCUUGCUCUCUUUCUCAGUAAAAGUACCUGAUCAGAAUCAAAUGCAGCCCUGGUCCAUGAUGGCAUUCCUCCGGGCUGCACGGGGCUAUGCACAAUCAGUGAGAAUUUUACAGCCAUGAUGUGGGCCAAGCUGGGAUGUGGUCUGAGAAGCUGGACCUCCGGUGACGUCUUCUUGUGCCUCUCUGUGCUUGUGCGUGCUUUCAGCGGGUCUGAAUCUGAUCUGCUCGAUGCGCUUCAGUGGAAAGAGAUUUCUAAUAGUAACUGGAAGCAGAUAUAGCCAAGGAAUCAGUUUUAGUAAAUCCCACUGAACUCUGUCAUGGCAGAGAGACAGUAUAAAUGCUCCCCAUGAGUCUGCUAAUGAAAUGCCUGGCAAAGCCAAAAAGGGCAAAGAAAAAAUAGAAAUCACAGCUGCAAUAUCAGCUUGAAUAAUAGAGCUAGGAACGGGAGAAUAAUAAAAGAUGAGCAAGAGGUCAGAAAUAACACAAUAUGAAGGCAAAAGGAAGGAGAGGAAUGCUUUCCAAAAAGUGAGGCAGAGUAGAAAAGAAGUGUUCCAGGUCCUGUGAAAUGCUGAUGUGAAAUGAUUUAGAAGAGGAAAACUGAAAAAUACUAUGAAGGCAAAAAAUAAUUAAUUAUAUGAAUUUCACGAGCUGAAAUUUUUCACCCUUCUCAGCUUCUUGUUGGGAAUAUUCCCCAUAGAGUCUGUGCUAGAGGCCAGGUAUUCAGUGACAAGUCUCUAAAACGGGCCUGAAAAUGGACACUUAUUUGUUGUACAAAGUACUCUUUUGAAUGUUCAAUCACCUUCUUUUUUUUUUCUUUUUUUUUUUUUUUCUUCUGUUUAGAAAUUUUGGCACACAACUUCUAAUUUACUCAAGCCAUAAUCUACUUCCUAGAAAAUAACUGGCUAAGUUCAUUUUAGGGAUCUUAUUCAUCACUUAAUGUAAAGGCAAAGGAGCGGCAUCGGGCACCCCUUUCCAGCGUGAUGUGGAAGUACAAACCUCAGGAAAGGCACAGGCUGGGGCAGUUUCUUCCCUGAGUUCCAUCUGCAUAAAGGACAAUUAAUUAAUACAGGUGUUAUUCUGGGGAUUCAGAUUAUUAUUAUUAAUAAUAAUAAUAAUAAUAAACAUCCAGUAGGAAGUAACCCAGAGCCGGAGAAUGAACACAGGUACAUGAUGCCCAGCUUCAGAGAAAGGAAAAUUGUCUGUCCCAUAUGAUCAACAUUCUCUGACUUUGCUGGAUUUCUGGAAAUCAGUGGAUCUUUGUCUUUCCUAUCUUCUGUGCUUCUAAGCACUAAAUCAGAUGUUAGCUGCUCAGAGACAUUGCAUUGCUGCAUAAAGACUCGUAGCAUAUUCCUGUAAAGGCAUAUUCCAGAACAAGUAAAAUGAAAAUGGCUUUUUGUUGUUGUUAAAAGUCUGCAGUCCCUGUGGAAAUUAUUUGCUUCAAAGACAACAGUGUAAAUAAACUUCCUUCACAAUAAACUUCAAAGAUAACAGUAAGAUGUAUGGUGAAGUGAAGGGAAUAAGCCUUGUAAAAAAUGUUUCUCAAGUAAGCUAACAGUUUGGAUGUUUCUCAUCUUCAUCUAAUCGUUUCCUCAUUUUUAAUCCACAAUUAUAACACAGGUUUAUUUGCUUGGGAGGGUCAAAAGCCUAGAACACUAAUACUUUAACGUUUUAAAGUAUUAUUUUAACCUUGCAAUUUGAUUUUAUUAAGUUAUUCUUGAAGCAUUCACAUUUUUAUUAAGAAUAGACUAAUAAAGACCAUCAAGGAAAAGAAAGAGAAGGCACUUUUAGAGGUAGAAAGCUUCCAGGUUUGAGACUUAAAACAAAAAGCCAUACAAAAUACUUUAUAAGUAUCGAUAUUGAAAUAUAUGGUUUCUAAUAGUAUCUUAACAUGAUUCGUUAUUCAAACAAAUUGAUUUGGCACAACAAAGUUCUCAACUUUAAACUAAAUUCAUCUGCAGGUACUUCCUCCGUGGUGUGAGCGGGAUGUAUAGGCACGGCUCUGUCAGACAUCCUCUACAUGCUGCAAUUCUUGAAUUAAAAAAAAUAAAUGAAAUCCAAAAUUCUGCCAUGGUGCCAUGUGAACAAGUACAUAAAGACAUAGUCACAGCUAUACCUGCCUUCUCAGACGUGGACAUGGCUUUGAGCUGCUCUCAAUUUGGAGGUUCUUCUGGCUAUGUGCUGGCGUUCGAGACCCAUUUGCUUUUCCCCGUUUAAAUCUGAAUGUUUUCACACUGCUGAUGGGAUUGGAUGUACAGUCCUCCUGGCAGCCUGCCUGUUACCUGCCUGUAUGUUUGUGCAAAUUAAAAACCAGUCAUGACAUACUGGCUGAUAAUAUUAUCUCCUCAGCCUUGGGGAAACAGCUGGGGAAGGAAAACCGGUUAAAACAGAAAUGUCUUGUUAUUAAGAUAGCUAUUUCUGGAAACAGCGGGGCAGGGGGGGCUCCUGGUGUAGGUAAAUGCCACAUGAUUCCAACAGAGAUGAAGAAAAAAACUGUGAAAUGACUGUUUCAGGUAACAGCAACUGCCAUUAGUGUUACACUGUAUUACACAUCCUUUUCCACAGGGAAUGCACUGUUCUCUUGCACCUUGUUACCUAUGAAUAUUCUUUUAAUGCCAGACAGCUACAGAUAUGUAUUUUGGGGAAAGCCACUAAUUAUGUUGAGGAAGAAAGAAAACUUGCCCUUUAGGUAUAUUUGCAUACUCUUUAUUAUGAGCCCUCUUAUGUAAUUAGUGCAAAUUGCCAAGUUUUUGCUCUAUACAGCUAAGGUAAAUUUUUGGAACAUGGACUAAAACUCCUGUGAUGUUUCUCUUACCUACUGUGGUGCUUUCCAGCUGAAUAUGUCUGUAUUGGCUUUUUCUUUUCCUUUUGUUUUCUCUCUUUUUGUAAUAGUAAGAACUGAUGUAGAAAAGCUUCAUUUCCUACUAUAUGAAUAAACUGCAAAACUCAUAGGUGCAAAGCUAGGCUACCACACAUACCUGUGUCUGUUCUCUCUUACCUUACUACAGUGUCCUGUGCUUUUCUCUACCUCUCAGUAUAAAUGCUUGCACAUAUAAAAACAUUAAUGUACCUAUAAAACACUGAUACGUUGUAUUCAACUUUGAAUGCUAUCAAAGUUUAAAUCUCGGUAAAGUGCUUUAAAAUCAGAUCAUCAUGCCUUUCAAGGAGCUUUGCCAAGCCAGGUCUUGGCAUUUUGUCUCCCCUGUAACAACAACCACGUGGCUUUCAGUGGUCCAUGCCGCUGGGUGCCUGCAGGCGCAGUCCCACCACGAUGCAGCAGCGAGAUGCUCAAAGAGCACAAGUCACUGCCCAGAUAUGCUGCUUCUACACCUGAAAAUAAAUAAAUAAAUAAAUAAAUAAGCCUUUAAAACAAUGAUUUUCAGAGAGCUUUCCUACUGUUUAAAAGGCUCCUACUGUUUAAAUGGGGUGUGGGGGGAAAGUAGGUAUUCUUAUACAUUAAUAUAUUAUGUGGGUGACUUGCAGACAGAGCUGUAGGUUUUGUGGUAACCUCCAAGCAGGUUAUCAGAGAGAUGAUGUACCACCAUUGGUGUUAGGUCCGUACCGGUUUUUAAAGGUCUGAGUAGAUAGUCUUUAGACAAUGAUUAGGUACAGAAACCUUGCUUUUGAAUGUUUAGCAUGUAAUGAAAAUGGGAUAAAAAUGGAAAGGUAAAAUUGCCCAGAAGUCUUGAUCCAAAAAAGAAACAAAAAAAAAUGUCUAUUUAGUGGCUAUGAGUCAAUGCACGGUGUAUGAACAAAUACGUAAAAUACAUAUAUUAGAUAAAAGAUAUCUGACAGGGUUCUGAGGCUCAGACUCUAAAUAAUAAGCUGAAAGCAAAUACAAUAUCUGAUCCAAGAAAAAUAUUUUUCAUAACUUUGAAGUGAAUCAUUUUAAAAUUAAGAAACAAAAACCUAGAACCUUCUGUUUUUAAGUUAGAUAAUUAAAUACCCAAUCAAUGACAAUUAUUGGAAAACUAUUUGGUAUUUUAUUAUCUUUGCCUGACUGAUCUGUAUUAUGGAAUACCAUGAAAAUUGUGAUUCCUUUUUUGAUAGAUGGAGACUGCUUUUAACAUGUAUUAAAGAGUACUUUAUAUAUAAUAUAAACAUAUCUAAAAGCAGUCAGAACAGUAAGAAAAAAAUACAAUUAACUGUCUCAGUGAACAGAAUACACCUGUAAGUGAAUCACAGGUGAAAACUUUAGGCAGUGCCUUGAAAGCUUACAUGAAGGUCACAGGUUACAUGUCAGAUGUUUCUGAAAGCAACUAAAGACAGAGCUGUUUGUUUAUUUAUUUGUUUUUCAAUCUAAUGGGUUUAUUUUAAGAAGGGAAAAAGCUGGAAUUCUUUAUUUAAUUAAAAGCCUAAUAUCAUAGACUUCAUGACCUCAUUACUAGCCUGGAGGUCCUUUACACAGUGCCAGGGACAACAUACACGUAUAAAAACAACCAUUUUACAGAUGAGAAUGAGACAGAAGAAAAGAAGCUUGUUAUAUGUAUGAGAAUUUGUCAGCCUUCUCCGAUACUCUCUUUCAACUACUUUCACCUAAUCUCUGCCAGUGGAGAGUGAAGCUGGUAUGAGAAGACAGGGAAUAGGAGAUGAGAGCAGCUGGAGAGUAGCUUUGCUUUUUUUGCUCGAUGUGCAAUGGAAUCAUCAGAGAUGGUUUUUCAGGGUGCUGGUUUA